rnacentral:rRNA from 1 species
UACGGAGGAUGCAAGCGUUAUCCGGAUUUAUUGGGCGUAAAGGGCGCGUAGGCGGGUCGUCAAGUCAGGGGUGAAAUCCCUCGGCUCAACUGAGGAACUGCCUUUGAAACUGUCUGGCUUGAGGCCGGGAGAGGGUAGCGGAAUUCCCAGUGUAGCGGUGAAAUGCGUAGAUAUUGGGAGGAACACCAGUGGCGAAGGCGGCUACCUGGACCGGUUCUGACGCUGAGGCGCGAAAGCGUGGGUAGCAAACAGG